rnacentral:rRNA from 1 species
CCUACGGGAGGCUGCAGUGGGGGAUAUUGCACAAUGGGGGGAACCCUGAUGCAGCGACGCCGCGUGGGUGAAGAAGCGCCUCGGCGCGUAAAGCUCUGUCAGCAGGGAAGAAAAUGACGGUACCUGACGAAGAAGCCCCGGCUAACUACGUGCCAGCAGCCGCGGUAAUACGUAGGGGGCAAGCGUUAUCCGGAUUUACUGGGUGUAAAGGGGGCGCAGACGGCGAUGCAAGCCAGGAGUGAAAGCCCGGGGCCCAACCCCGGGACUGCUCUUGGAACUGCGUGGCUGGAGUGCAGGAGGGGCAGGCGGAAUUCCUGGUGUAGCGGUGAAAUGCGUAGAUAUCAGGAGGAACACCAGUGGCGAAGGCGGCCUGCUGGACUGCAACUGACGUUGAGGCCCGAAAGCGUGGGGAGCAAACAGGAUUAGAUACCCCAGUAGUC